GUGAAUGAACAUGGAAGGAAGGAAGAAGUGGGCUUCCCACACAGCGUCUUGCAUGGCUGGAGGAGCCAGGUGCUCCCUCACCCCACUCCUGCCCUGCCUUGUGGGAGAGAUCAUGGGCAGAGGAGACAGCUCUUGGUGCUGUGCUGAGCUACCCUGGAGAAGCAGCAAUGUGGGUUGGUGAUGGUCCUUCUGGUUCUCAUUUGCCUUCCAAAGGCUAUGUUGUCUCUAGCAAGAAAUGACCAUGUUCCACUCUGGAUAUGUUCCUUUAAGAAUAACAUGUAUCCCAAGGCAAAACUCUUCCUCCUCUAUAUUAGUCCCAGCGUGGAACUUACACCAGAAUUUCAAACUCUGGAUAUCGAAUGCAGCCUCUAACUAUAGAUAUCGGAGUUGUACUCAGAUGUCAGAAAGUAGGAAGAGAAACCAAGGCGAGGACUAAUCAAUAGUAAGUUAUAUUUAUUAAUUAUCGCCAUGUGUACCCUUUUAUGGUUGUUAGGUUAACACUAACUGCUAUCCUAGAUAAACCCCUAAACACAGUAAAAGAGCAAAAGAUUUCACACAAGGCCAAAGUGACAGCUCUUCAUCUAAACCUUUCGUGUGGUCUGAUCAAGGACACAGACUUCCUUCUUCCUGGGGGGACAUUGUCCCUUGGGGCCUUUGGAUCCUUUGUCGCUGUCUGGCAGUGGGGAGAAAGAAGGGUGGGGAGCAGAGGCUCGGAGAUGACACACCCCACCCUGCUGGCAUUCCAGCACGAGGCCAGAGAGCUCGGAAUGGAGUCUCUGGCUGGGCAGCCACAUCCUACCAACAGCUGUGGACUAGGGAAGGAAACAGCUGCCCGUUCUGCCACGAACCCUGACUUUGAGGAGGCAACACAACAGAUCUUCCCAGGUUGUUUCUAUCUGUGUUGAAGCUCUGGAGAUUUAGUAAGAUUAGUGAUUGCAAACUCAAAUUGAAAAUUCUAGCCCUUCUUCAUAAGAUAUCCUGGUGACGCUUGCCCAUUUGCUAUAGCAUUUAAAGUUUUAAUCUGUUCACAUGUGUUUGUGUUGCGUAAGAAGACAGUAGAAAUUUAUCCUGCCUCCAUGCAAGUGCUUCCUAAAUGAACAAGAUUAAGUUUGUGUUUUUCAGAUUUACUCUCGACAAUGGCUGGUUUUCCUAAUAAAAUUUGACUUUAUAGGAAUAGUACAUUUGAGAUAGGUUUUAAGGCUUCCUUUUAUCAUUUAUUGCUGCAGGAGGACAGGACAAGUAACAAUCUGUGCUACUGUUCAAUCAGGAGAGACUUUCUUUCUCUCUCUGCCGUAAAGAACAGAAAAUUGACUGAUACUACAUAUUGUUUGGAGCAGAGUCUGAGCCAGUGUGUGGGAAUCAUUCAUAGAAAGGCCGGUGCCAGGCAUCUGAUCUGAGUAGCUUGUAAUGCAAUCCUAUUCCAUUUUAGCUGUUGUUUGUGUCCUUCAGAAUACUGUAAGCCCAGUCACCACCUACGGUUUCCAUGAGCUGCUGUGCAGGUCCACAGCUGGAAGAGGAAGGGCCUUUGAGGGGUGAUAACAUGAGGAAAAAAACACAAUCAUUUACUGCUAUGCACUAGGUCGUAUUCUGUUUCCUGUCUCCUAUUUCUAUGAUCAGGUAAAAUGUCAUAAGUGUAUAUAUUCAUAAUGAUGACUUAUUAUUUCUUUUUUUCUUUUUUCCGGUACUAGGGAUCGAACUCAUGACCGCCUGCUUGCAAGGGAGGUGCUUAUGCCACUGAGCUAAAUCCCCAGCCCCCAUAAUGAUGACUUAUUAAUCUGCUCAUAUUGCCUACUUCAUUCUCCUCAAGCAUCAUUUAGGAUAACUGAUGUCUAUUUUCUUCAUUGGGUGACUGACAGUACCUCACGGCAAACUUUAAUUUGGCCACAUGACAUCUCUGUUCUGUGCUUUCUUUCAUUUUCCAUAUCUGAUUUUUGGGUUACCUACUUUAAUUGGACUAGAGAAUUCCCUCAGGAGGAGAAUGAAAACAUGAAAUCUAGGAUCACAUUGUCACUACAUACCAGCAACAUAACUUGCUUGUCACUAGUGGACAUCAGGCUAGUGAUGGCCUCUUUGUGUCCUCCAUCCAUAAGUAGGUGGGUCAGAUAGACUGUUCUCUCUUAAAUGUGAUUUAUGGUCAUGACAGAAAGUUCUCAGGUUCUUUUUCACGACUGCCUUUCAAAGAGUUCAGUCAUAUUUCUUCUGCCUACAUUAGGUGGUUUUCCUUUUGCACUCAUAUUGUUUCUUUCCAAGUGUUAGUGGAAAGAUUUAGUGGUGGCUUUACUGACCUGGCUCCCUGGAUGCACCUGGGGGUCCAUCACUUGCUUAUUUCCCAUAUUCAAAGAACAGAGAAAAUCAAGUGUUAUAAAAUUUCAAUAUGACAAAAAAUAGCCAAUUCGACUUUAGGCUUGCUUCCUCUUUACUAAACAGAUUCCAGCAAAUUUUGUUCAGUUGCUAAGCCUCUGUCCAGCUUUCUGCCCAAAGAAACUAUCUCAAGAGCAUGGAAGAAUGCACACUGAUUUUUCAGGCCAGUGUUCAUGGGCUGUUCCUUCCUUUCUUUGGUCCUCAGCCCUACUCCUGGGUCCCCCUACCUGUACAGCUCUAGGAUGGGUUCACAGUGUCCCGCCAAAGAGUAAGCUAGGCUCCUUGUUAUUUCCCAAGACACGAUAUGGACUGGGCGGGGCUUUGCAUAUCAGGCGCCCCUCACAGCCCCGGUAUGAUCGUGUGUGCGAGAUGUCCCCGGAUAUUUCCUAACCACAGACAAAAGUUCCAAGUGUCUGGAGCAGCUAUCUGGAUCAUGUAUCACCCUUUCAUACGGAUGAUGAUGUGUCUAGGAGAAUAUUGACAAGAACCAAACAAUAUGCAUAUGAUUCACAGUGUAAUUCCAAGAGGAUUUGUGUCCACUUUUAAGCAUACUCAUUUUUCUCCCACUCUUUUAAUGCUGGUUGCAUUCUUUGGGGAAGCCUUCAAAAAAACCUAGAAAGAUUAAAAAAGCGGUAAGUACUCAUUAAGCAAGAUUUACCAAUCCCAUCCUUCCCCACACAGGGAGAUCUUAAUAGAUAAAGAGGAUGUCACUUCUCUGUCUCCUCUUGCACCUGCAAAUAGAAUCCUAGUUCUAUACCAAAGCCUACAAAGGCUUGCAUGAAUGGGGUUCUGCCUAUCUUUCCUGUCUUGUUUCAUGUCUCUUUCGAGUUUUUCUCACUCUGUUCCACAUGUAUCAGUUUCUCUAGUGACUUACAAAUGCCAAGCCAUUUUCUACCUCAGGACCCUUACACAUGCUGUUCUUGUUUCUCUCCUGAGUUAUAGCUCUCAGGUCUGGCUUUAAAUUUCAUGUUUUCAAAGAAGGCUCCCCUGGAUGCCAUGUUUAAAGUUAUCUCCUUCACACUUUCUCCUUCCCAGUUUUCUGUUGGUGGCUACUUUGCUUACUCUGUACCACUGUGUUUGUUUACUUGUUGAAUACCUCUGUAUCCUUCCAGAACAUAAACUUCAUGAGGGCAGGAACAUGUCUGUCAUGUCCAACACAAGCCAGACACUGAUCCUUCCUUGUUGGUAUUUUCCUUCCCACAUUAUGCCUUCUUAGAGAGCCAGUCGCUUAUCAUAAUUCUUCCAAAAGAUGCUUUAAAAUUAAUCAUUAAAAUUAGAAUGUAAUUUAUAGAAACAGCCUUUUCACAAACUUGUGUUUUGAAUGGUGGUCUUUAUUGAGUCCUAUAGGGUGCAAUGUUUUUAAAAUGGGAUCAAUAAAUAGCUUAUGGAUGGUAGCAAAUGCACAUGAUUUUAGUUAUUUCUACCCUCUGUCCCCACCAAGGUCCUAUAAUGGGUUUAUAAAGAUCAGCCAGGCGGACCUCAAACCUGAAAUACAUGGACGUAUUAAAAAGCAAUUGCAAAGGUGCUUAGGAGUACGGGAGCAAGAGGCAAGGAGCAGGUGGCUGCCUACGGGAGCAACUGGGGCCCAAGGCAAAGGUGGAUGUCACGGCUUCCAAACCCCACUGUGUUGCUCUGGUUGUGUCUCGGGGAUGUCCCCCCGCUUGUGCUAUGUUUGGAUAAUUUCCAAAGCUCUUCACUCUUCCAGGUUGUGGGCGCUGGCGCAGAGCUGGAGGCACAUGCACAGGGCAGGCCUGAAUAAAGUGUGCACGGGGGCUCUCGACUGCACGAGGCAGGGACUGUAGCCUGACCUUGGGAUGGCUCACAAAGGGACAACGGCAGCAAGCCAGGAACCCUGUUGCCAACUUUCUUAGGAGACCCAGAGCUCUCCAGUCAGGGCCCCGCGCACCAGGUCAGCUUUCCCAGGCAUGGGGGUGUCUCCAAGGCCCUUUGUGUUCUGUAGUCCUGAGAUGGGGUCAUCGGGAAGACUCUUACUUCCCUCUCAGCUCUGCAGGAGGUAUCCAGGAUGCAGCCCGCCUACACACCUGCCCCAGGAAGACCUCAUCCUCCUCUGUGUAGCUCCACACAAUCCUUCUCCUAUCAACUGACCGGCCUCUCCCUAAGGGGCCCCACCUGCCUUCCCACCAUGCAUACACUGGAAACCUCUUUCCUUCAUCGUGUUCUUCACACCCACCACGUGGCAGGGGCAGAUUUUACCACUUCCCUUCUGGUACAGGUCCAUCCUGGUGAGCAGAGAAAAGGUGAAGAAAGGUUUAGGGGAUCAAGGGGCAGGAGGCCAGGGGACAGAUCCCCCCAGCCCCAUCUCUGCCCUCCCCCGUCCUCCUGCAUCCCGCUGUGGAUCUGACAGCCACUGUCACCCAGGGCAGGGAAAGCAAGGAACAAGAAGACCUGGUCCCAGCUUUGCUCACCAUGGGAUUCCCACUUUCACACUGGGUGUGAACUGUCAAGCAGAAGGGACUUUUGACACCAGGAUUUUGUUUGUUUUCUGUCUCAUUUGUGCCCUUUGCUGUGAGAAGUGCAUGUGUUUCUUUUAAAUGACAGAAAGGGAAAAAGAUCACAUUAGCCACCAAUAAAUCUAGGUAGUACGACACCUGCUUUGCCUGAAACCGAGGUCUUCAUACCACACUGCAAAGGACAGUGACACCAGACGAUUGAUGCUAGCACAUACCAAGGAAUUCCAGGACGGGCCUCUGACUCGGGAAACACCGGUGCAGAUUUUGUUUUAUGUAGUUUUGCUUUCUUUACUCUAAGUUAGGAAACUGACUAAUAAAUAGUUAAAUGUGUUUGCCGGAAAAUAUUCAAGUGUAAGGCAACAGUUUCCAAAUUCCCCGCAGAGCCCGGACACAAGGGAACGUUGGCGGCCAAGCCUGUUAUUAAGAAGGUCACCAGAUGCCAUCUGUUACUGCGUGCGCUUUCCUGUUCAAGCAUAACAUCCACUAGGAGGUGGCGGCAAUGGGUUUCGCCUGUGAACUUAAAAGACAACUCUGGGGUGGGCAGUGCGGUGAUCCGCUGGGCGCCAGGAACUCCCAGGUGUCCGCCUGGACAGGGCCUGGAGUUAUGCUGGGUGAAGACAGGGAGGGGGUACAGCGCUGAUAUUAGGUCUGUCUUUCAUUAUAUCUCAAAUGUAAUCUGGGGUGCUGCAGCCUGGUCUUCCUAAUCUCUUUUUUUUUCAGGGCCUGGUGGUAGUCAUCUAUAAAAUGUGACAAUAGCCUUCUGAUAGUUGUGAAGCUAAGGCCUAUCAAUGAAUACCUUACUCUCUUAUUUGCUACGUAAAACAGAUAGUUAAAUCCAGAGAAAAGUUGCAGGAAUUUUGCAGUCAAUGCUACCUGUUCUUUCCUAGAGUCAGCAACAUUUUGCCACCUUUAUUGACAAUUUGCUUUAUCUCAGUUUGUACGUGCUGAUACCUGUAUGUGCUUCUUGACCGGGUUAUUGACAGUAGAUUAAAGACAUUACAACAUA